UAAGACAGAGGCCUCGAGCGUUAGGCGGAAUCACUGGGCUUAAAGCGUGUGUAGGCGGGAGAGUAAGUACCUUGUGAAAUCCCACGGCUCAACCGUGGAACUGCUGGGUAUACUGCUCUUCUUGGGCCAACUAGGGGCAGCCGGAACAAGCGGUGGAGCGGUGAAAUGCGUAGAUAUCGCUUGGAACGCCGAAGGUGAAAACAGGCUGCUGGGGUUGUGCCGACGCUGAGACACGAAAGCCAGGGGAGCAAACGGGAUUAGAUACCCCGGUAGUCCUGGCCCUAAACGAUGUCCACUAGAUCGCGGAACGGUUUGACCCGCCCGCGGUCGGAGCAAAAGUGUUAAGUGGACCGCCUGGGAAGUACGGUCGCAAGGCUA
rnacentral:rRNA from 1 species